GAUGAACGCUGGCGGCGUGCCUAACACAUGCAAGUCGAGCGGCAGCGAGGGGUGCUUGCACCCUGUCGGCGAGCGGCGGACGGCUGAGUAACGCGUGGGAACGUGCCCCAAGGUGAGGAAUAACUGCCCGAAAGGGUAGCUAAUACCGCAUAUUAUCUUCGGAUCAAAGGAUUUAUCCGCUUUGGGAGCGGCUCGCGUCGGAUUAGGUAGUUGGUGAGGUAAUGGCUCACCAAGCCGACGAUCCGUAGCUGGUCUGAGAGGAUGACCAGCCAGACUGGAACUGAGACACGGUCCAGACUCCUACGUGAGGCAGCAGUGAGGAAUCUUCCACAAUGGGCGAAAGCCUGAUGGAGCAACGCCGCGUGCAGGACGAAGGCCUUCGGGUUGUAAACUGCUUUUAUAAGUGAGGAAUAUGACGGUAACUUAUGAAUAAGGAUCGGCUAACUACGUG
rnacentral:rRNA from 1 species